CCGCCCUCCUGGGCGGCGCUGCCUUUGAUGAGGGUGAAGGCUGGGUCCACGCCUUGGGGAGAGAGGAAGAGGCUGUCUCUCAGAUUUAGGCCAACUGCAGAAAAACUUGCGACCACAUUGUGGGUCUUCUGGGCCUCAGCUUCCUCUCUAUAAGCAGAGGAGUUAGACUAGAUGAUCCCUAAAAUUCCUUCUGGAUCUCAACGGUCGGGAAUAGGAUUUUAUUGACUACCUUGGUUUCCAACCUUUGCCCCCCCAACUGUGCUGCGGCGCCCCCUGGUGUCCGCAUCUAGACAAGGUCUCAUUACGCAGUCCAGGCUGGCCUCGAACUCAUGGCAAACCUCCUGCCUCAGCCUCCCGAGUGCUGGGAUUAUAGGCAGGCGCCACCACGCCUGGCAUAAGUUGCUGUUCCUUAACUUCCUACUGCGAUCAGUUGAAUACCGGUCCCCAAAGAUGUCCCCAUCUUAACCCUCAGAACCUAUGUGUCACCUUCCAGGUGUGAAUAAGGAUCUUGAGAUGGGGGAGAUUGUCCUGGAUCAGCCAAGGGACCCAGUGUCCUCACAAGGAUCCGUUUAAGAGGCAAGCAAGGGGUCCGGGGAUUUAGCUCAGUGGUUCUACCGCCUGCCUCAUAAACACAAAGUCCCGAAUUCGAUCCCUGGUACCAAAAAAAAAAAAAAAAAAAAAGAGGGAAGCAAGAAAGUCAAAUGAGUGACAGAUGUGCCAUAGAAGCACAGUGUAGAAGAGUUUGGGACCACAAGCCAAGGUCUGCAGGUGGCAGAUGGGAGAUGGAGAAAGAGGAAAUGGCUUCUCCUCUCAAGCUUCCAGAAGGAAUGAAGCCCUGCUGCCCCCUGGAUUUUGUCCCCAUGAGAGCGAUUUCAAACUUCUGUCCUCUAGAACUGCA
rnacentral:lncRNA from 1 species